rnacentral:misc_RNA from 1 species
AAGUCGUAACAAGGUUUCCGUAGGUGAACCUGCGGAAGGAUCAUUACCGAGAUAGGGUGCCGGCCUAAACCCCCGGCGCCCGACCUCCAACCCUGUGUCUACGUUACCACUGUUGCCUCGGCGGGCCGUUGAAAGCCUAGCGAUAGGCCCAGCCGUCGGCCCCUUAACAGGGGCCCUCGAGCGCCCGUCGAAGGACCUUAAUAAACCAAUUUGAAACGAGCCUUCUGAGUAAAAUUUUAAUACUUCAAAA